rnacentral:rRNA from 1 species
UAACAGAGAAAGAGAGUUCGAUCAUGGCUCAGAUUGAACGCUGGCGGGAUGCUUUACACACAUGCAAGUCGAACGGCAGCACGGACUUCGGUCUGGUGGCGAGUGGCGAACGGGUGAAGAGUAAUGUAUCGGAACGUGCCUAGUAGCGGGGGAUAACUACGCGAAAGCGUAGCUAAUACCGCAUACGCCCUUCGGGGGGAAAACGCGGGGGACCUUCGGGCCUCGCACUAUUAGAAGCGGCCGAUAUCGGAUUAGCUAGUUGGUGGGGUAACGGCUCACCAAGGCGACAGUCCGUAGCUGGUUUGAGAGGACGACCAGCCACGCUGGGACUGAGACACGGCCCAGACUCCUACGGGAGGCAGCAGUGAGGGAAUUUUGGACAAUGGAAACCUGAUCCAGCCAUCCCGCGUGUGCGAUGAAGGCCUUCGGGUUGUCAGCACUUUUGGCAGGAAAAGAAAACGGCACGGAUAAUACCCCGUGCAACUGACAGUACCUGCAGAAUAAGCACCGGCUAACUACGUGCCAGCAGCCGCGGUAAUACGUAGGGUGCAAGCGUUAAUCGGAAUUACUGGGCGGCAAAAGCGUGCGCAGGCAGUUCCGGAAAAGAAAAGAUGUGAAAUCCCAGAGCUUAACUUUGAACUGCAUUUUUAACUACCGAGCUAGAGUGUGUCAGAGGGAGGUGGAAUUCCGCGUGUAGCAGUGAAAUGCGUAGAUAUGCGGAGGAACACCGAUGGCGAAGGCAGCCUCCUGGGAUAACACUGACGCUCAUGCACGAAAGCGUGGGAACAAACAGGAUUAGAUACCCUGGUAGUCCACGCCCUAAACGAUGUCAACUAGCUGUUGGGGCCUUCGGGCCUUGGUAGCGCAGCUAACGCGUGAAGUUGACCGCCUGGGGAGUACGGUCGCAAGAUUAAAACUCAAAGGAAUUGACGGGGACCCGCACAAGCGGUGGAUGAUGUGGAUUAAUUCGAUGCAACGCGAAAAACCUUACCUACCCUUGACAUGUCUGGAAUCCCGAAGAGAUUUGGGAGUGCUCGCAAGAGGACCGGAACACAGGUGCUGCAUGGCUGUCGUCAGCUCGUGUCGUGAGAUGUUGGGUUAAGUCCGCAACGAGCGCAACCCUUGUCAUUAGUUGCUACGAAGGGCACUCUAAUGAGACUGCCGGUGACAAACCGGAGGAAGGUGGGGAUGACGUCAAGUCCUCAUGGCCCUUAUGGGUAGGGCUUCACACGUCAUACAAUGGUCGGGACAGAGGGUCGCCAGCUUGCGAGGGGAGCCAAUCCCAGAAACCCGAUCGUAGUCCGGAUCGCAGUCUGCAACUCGACUGCGUGAAGUCGGAAUCGCUAGUAAUCGCGGAUCAGCAUGUCGCGGUGAAUACGUUCCCGGGUCUUGUACACACCGCCCGUCACACCAUGGGAGUGGGUUUUACCAGAAGUAGUUAGCCCUAACCGUAAGGAGGGCGAUUACCACAGUAGGAUUCAUGACUGGGGUGAAGUCGUAACAAGGUAA